CCCAGCAGUGGUCAGCUGUCCCGACAGACCCAUUGCUAUGAUGGUGUUACACUGCUGGGAGAGGAAUGUCUUGUCUUCCUCUGGUGGCCUUUGUCACUCUUCUGGUCACAUCUGGCACUGGGGCAAGGCACAGCUGUGCUUCCCUGAGAGUGUGCUAAGCAUUCACCUGGCUGCUUAGCUCUAGUCUGGGAGCAGACACA